GAUGAACGCUGGCGGCGUGCCUAACACAUGCAAGUCGAGCGAACAGACGAGGAGCUUGCUCCACUGACGUUAGCGGCGGACGGGUGAGUAACACGUGGAUAACCUACCUAUAAGACUGGGAUAACUUCGGGAAACCGGAACUAAUACCGGGUAAUAUAUUGAACCGCAUGGUUCAAUAGUGAAAGACGGUUUUGCUGUCACUUAUAGAUGGAUCCGCGCCGCAUUAGCUAGUUGGUACGGUAACGGCUUACCAAGGCGACGAUGCGUAGCCGAGCUGCGAGGGUGAUCGGCCACUCUGGAACUGAGACACGGUCCAGACUCCUACGGGAGGCAGCAGUAGGGAAUCUUCCGCAAUGGGCGAAAGCCUGACGGAGGAACGCCGCGUUGGUGAUGAAGGUCUUCGGAUCGUAAAACUCUGUUAUUAGGGAAGAACAAUUGUGUAAGUAACUAUGCUCGUCUUGACGGUACCUAAUCAGAAAGCCGCGGCUAACUACGUG
rnacentral:rRNA from 1 species